CAUACAUAAAAUGACCAGUAUUUUUGUUCAUGUCUUUAAAUAUAAUGGCCCAGAAAACAGCCUCAAUAUACGUGUGGGAAUUUAUUUUUCCCAAGUUUCACUGGCGCUUCCAAGUACACUUAAAUGAAAUUUCGCGAAUAUUGCCUCGAUCCCCAGUGAAAUUUCAUAGUAAUGCUGAUGCCAGUGACUGCUGGUGGACUGAAUAACCUGCGGAGUAUUUAGAUGGUGUUGAAUCAUAGGACGAUUGCAGUACUGCAACUGGCACAUCAAGAUAAUGACAAUUUAAAAAAAGGAAAUACUAUAUAAAUGGAACGUAAGAAGUUGAAGAACCAGAAUUUAUGGACGUUAAGGGAAAAAAAAAGUUUAACCAGUAUUGAUGGAUGCAAUGGUUUAGCAUUUGCAUGUUUAUCAGUUUUACAUUUGCACACAGAUUUUGAAAGUUCCAAGUGUGUAGAGUUACUGUACAUUCCUUUUUUUAUGUUUUCCCUCAAAUAAAAGUGACAUCUUUC